rnacentral:rRNA from 1 species
CCACGCCGUAAACGAUGAGCACUAGGUGUCGGCCCACAAAGGGUCGGUGCCGCAGUUAACGCAUUAAGUGCUCCGCCUGGGGAGUACGCACGCAAGUGUAAAACUCAAAGGAAUUGACGGGGACCCGCACAAGCAGCGGAGCAUGUGGUUUAAUUCGAAGCAACGCGAAGAACCUUACCAGGACUUGACAUACUAGUGCCAGGUAUAGAGAUAUACCCUUAUCUUAGAUACACUAAUACAGGUGGUGCAUGGUUGU